rnacentral:rRNA from 1 species
UUAAAUGGCUGCAGUAAUUUGACUGUACAAAGGUAGCAUAAUCAUUAGUUUUUUAAUUAAAAGCUUGUAUGAAAGGUUGGACGAAAUAAAAUCUGUCUCUUUUUAAUAAAAUUAGAAUUUAAUUUUUAGGUUAAAAAGCUUAAAUUAAUAUAAAAGACGAGAAGACCCUAUAGAGUUUUAUAAUUUUAAUUUAAUAAUUAAUUUAGAUUUAAUAAUUUUAUUUUAUUAAAAUUAUUUUAUUGGGGUAAUAAAAAGAUUAAAUAAAUUCUUUUUUUAUAAAAUCAUUAAUUUAUGAAAUUUUAUGAUCCAUUAAAUUAUGAAUAUAAG